UAAGACGUAGGGGGCGAGCGUUGUCCGGAUUCACUGGGCGUAAAGCGCGCGUAGGCGGCUCGUUAAGUCGGAUGUGAAAACCCGGGGCUCAACCCCGGGCCUGCACCCGAUACUGGCGGGCUGGAGGCAGGUAGGGGAGAUCGGAAUUCCCGGUGUAGCGGUGAAAUGCGCAGAUAUCGGGAGGAACACCGGUGGCGAAGGCGGAUCUCUGGGCCUGUCCUGACGCUCAGGCGCGAAAGCUAGGGGAGCAAACAGGAUUAGAUACCCUGGUAGUCCUAGCUGUAAACGUUGGGUGCUAGGUGUGGGCCGGCGAUCGACCCGGUCUGUGCCGAAGCUAACGCAUUAAGCACCCCGCCUGGGGAGUACGGCCGCAAGGCUA
rnacentral:rRNA from 1 species